GAUGAACGCUGGCGGCGUGCCUAAUACAUGCAAGUCUAGCGAACGGACGAGAAGCUUGCUUCUCUGAUGUUAGCGGCGGACGGGUGAGUAACACGUGGAUAACCUACCUAUAAGACUGGGAUAACUUCGGGAAACCGGAGCUAAUACCGGAUAAUAUUUUGAACCGCAUGGUUCAAAAGUGAAAGACGGUCUUGCUGUCACUUAUAGAUGGAUCCGCGCUGCAUUAGCUAGUUGGUAAGGUAACGGCUUACCAAGGCAACGAUGCAUAGCCGACCUGAGAGGGUGAUCGGCCACACUGGAACUGAGACACGGUCCAGACUCCUACGGGAGGCAGCAGUAGGGAAUCUUCCGCAAAGGGCGAAAGCCUGACGGAGCAACGCCGCGUGAGUGAUGAAGGUCUUCGGAUCGUAAAACUCUGUUAUUAGGGAAGAACAUAUGUGUAAGUAACUGUGCACAUCUUGACGGUACCUAAUCAGAAAGCCACGGCUAACUACGUG
rnacentral:rRNA from 1 species